rnacentral:rRNA from 1 species
AGGACGAACGCUGGCGGCGUGCUUAACACAUGCAAGUCGAGCGGUAAGGCCCUUCGGGGUACACGAGCGGCGAACGGGUGAGUAACACGUGGGUGACCUGCCCCCUACUCUGGGAUAAGCCUGGGAAACUGGGUCUAAAUACCGGAUAUGACUACAUGUCGCAUGGUGUGUGGUGGAAAGUUUUUUCGGUGGGGAUGGGCCCGCGGCCUAUCAGCUUGUUGGUGGGUGAUGGCCUACCGAAGGCGACGACGGGUA